rnacentral:rRNA from 1 species
GCAUAUCAAUAAGCGGAGGAAAAGAAACUAACAAGGAUUCCCCUAGUAACUGCGAGUGAAGCGGGAAAAGCUCAAAUUUAAAAUCUGGCGGUCUCCGGCCGUCCGAGUUGUAAUUUAGAGAAGCGUUAUCCGUGCUGGACCGUGUAUAAGUCUCCUGGAAUGGAGCGUCAUAGAGGGUGAGAAUCCCGUCUUUGACACGGACUACCAGUGCAUUGUGAUGCGCUCUCGACGAGUCGAGUUGUUUGGGAAUGCAGCUCAAAAUGGGUGGUAAAUGCCAUCUAAAGCUAAAUAUUGGCGAGAGACCGAUAGCGAACAAGUACCGUGAGGGAAAGAUGAAAAGAACUUUGGAAAGAGAGUUAAACAGUACGUGAAAUUGUCGAAAGGGAAACGGUUGCAGUCAGUCGCGUCCGCCGGGGAUCAACCUUGCUUUUGCUUGGCGUAUUUCCCGGUGGAUGGGUCAGCAUCAGUUUUGACCGCAGUUGAAAGGCUGGAGGAAUGUGGCACCUUCGGGUGUGUUAUAGCCUCCUGUCAUAUGCUGCGGUUGGGACUGAGGAACUCAGCACGCCGCAAGGCCGGGAUUCGUCCACGUUCRUGCUUAGGAUGCUGGCAUAAUGUCUGUAACCGACCCGUCUUGAAACACGGACC